UGACAUUAGCAUCAGCAUCAGCGUUGAGAGCCGAGCUGUCACACUGCCACUCACCUGCUAGUUAGCUACGGCCGCUUUCCUCAAAGUGUCAGUUCACGACAUAUUUUCUUAUUUCAGGAAGCCACGGGUUCAGAGCAAGUUGAAUCCCAUGUCAGAAUUGUCCCCACGCUGACCUGCGCCUGACUGGCCUCCCAGCAAAAAGCCCCUGUGAAGAUCACCAACCCCCCGGUAUCCCAUGAAUACUGUUUCUAGUUUCCCUUUGAAGCCCUGGGACCCUGCAGAGUGACAUGCGACAGAGGAACUGGUCGAAAACCAAGGAAGUGAGCAUGGCAAUAGACUUGUAAAAGAGCCAGCAACAACUGCCAUCAGCAUGGGGUACAAACAGCACUGGGUUGACCUCAAACAAAGUGCAGAGGGAGGCGGGCCGGCUAAACAUGUAAGGCGAAAAGAGCUUUCCUGAUCCGAAGGUGAAAAACAUCCUCCUCCUCCUCCUCCUCCUCUUCCCCCGGACUGGAACAUCUGUCUCCGUGGUGUUGGCUGCAGUGCCGACUCUGACACCUCCAGAUGGAGGACCCGCUGGGAGCGCUGAGGUAUUACCUGCAGAGAUGGCAGGGAUCACACCUCUGGAAUGAAGUCCCACACUUGUUUUCAGCACCGUCCCCCUCUUAUUGUUGUUGAAUCUGUCGCUAUUCACCAUAUCGAUUGUCACCUUGGCCUUGCGACUCUUCUAGAAGCUUUUGGCUGUUAAAGAAAUGCGUGACAACAAAACCUCUCAGCCCCUUUUCUAAUUUACAGUAAUGGGCCGUAUGGUAUUUCAACUGUAGCGUCUAUAAGUGGAACUGCAUUCAUUUUUAAUAUAGUUGCUCGAGAACUGCUUGUGGAUAUAUUUCAAAUGAUUGCUGUUUUGUGUUUCCUACAAACACAGGGUUUUUUUCAGAGGCCCUGAACAUAGCAGUUUGAAUAAAUCAGAGCUUUGACUAAAUGGGGUUUAAUCUCUGUAGUGUAAAUAUCUAACGCAAUACCUACAGAAAAUCUUAAGUAUGAGAGGCCCUCGAGUUGACUUCUCCGAGCCACUCUUGGUGUCUUGACAGAUUGACUCUGCAUUCAUUUGUGCCUGAACUCUGCGUGAACCUCAGCUUUAGGAAAAAGGGCACCAACAGGCCGGUGCUGCCGGAGCAGAAACUCUGUGUGCGCAAACUUAACACCCAGUGCAAAUAUUGGAACUGCUGCCCCUUCACCAUCAACUGAAACUAGGUGGUCAGCCUCAGCAAACGUUUAUCUUGAGCUGAAGUCACAAUGAGCACUUGAAUGUCAAACAGUCAACUUUUUCCUCUGAUUUAAAUGAAAAUCUGGGUUGUUUGAUUUUACAAAAGUAUUAAAAAUAAAAGUGGAUGUCAUUGCGA